rnacentral:rRNA from 1 species
GACGAACGCUGGCGGCGUGCUUAACACAUGCAAGUCGAGCGGUAAGGCCCUUUCGGGGGUACACGAGCGGCGAACGGGUGAGUAACACGUGGGUGACCUGCCCUCAGCUCUGGGAUAAGCCUGGGAAACCGGGUCUAAUACCGGAUAUGACUCCAUGACGCAUGUUGUGGGGUGGAAAGCCUUGUGCGGCUGAGGAUGGGCCCGCGGCCUAUCAGCUUGUUGGUGGGGGAUGGCCUACCAAGGCGACGACGGGUAGCCGGCCUGAGAGGGCGACCGGCCACACUGGGACUGAGACACGGCCCAGACUCCUACGGGAGGCAGCAGUGGGGAAUCUUGCGCAAUGGGCGAAAGCCUGACGCAGCGACGCCGCGUGAGGGAUGAC